rnacentral:rRNA from 1 species
GCCUGAGAAACGGCUACCACAUCCAAAGGAAGGCAGCAGGCGCGCAAAUUACCCACUCCCGGCAAGGGGAGGUAGUGACGAAAAAUAACGAUGCGGGACUCUUUUGAGGCCCCGCAAUCGGAAUGAGUACACUCUAAAUCCUUUAACGAGGACCCAUUGGAGGGCAAGUCUGGUGCCAGCAGCCGCGGUAAUUCCAGCUCCAAUAGCGUAUAUUAAAGUUGUUGCGGUUAAAAAGCUCGUAGUUGGAUCUCAGUUAGAGACUGGCGGUCCGCCGUUCGGUGGUUACUGCCAGGACUCAACAUCCUGCCGGUUUUCCCCUGGUGCUCUUCACUGAGUGUCUCGGGUGCCCGGCACGUUUACUUUGAAAAAAUUAGAGUGCUCAAAGCAGGCGUUUAGCCUGAAUAAUGGUGCAUGGAAUAAUGUAAUAGGAUCUCGGUUCUAUUGUGUUGGUUUUCGGAACACGAGGUAAUGAUUAAAAGGGACAGACGGGGGCAUUCGUAUUGCGACGCUAGAGGUGAAAUUCUUGGACCGUCGCAAGACGAACUACUGCGAAAGCAUUUGCCAAGCAUGUUUUCAUUAAUCAAGAACGAAAGUUAGAGGUUCGAAGGCGAUCAGAUACCGCCCUAGUUCUAACCAUAAACGAUGCCAACCAGCAAUCCGCCUGAGUUCCUCAAAUGACUCGGCGGGCAGCUUCCGGGAAACCAAAGUGUUUGGGUUCCGGGGGAAGUAUGGUUGCAAAGCUGAAACUUAAAGGAAUUGACGGAAGGGCACCACCAGGAGUGGAGCCUGCGGCUUAAUUUGACUCAACACGGGAAAACUUACCCGGCCCGGACACCGGAAGGAUUGACAGAUUAAGAGCUCUUUCUUGAUUCGGUGGGUGGUGGUGCAUGGCCGUUCUUAGUUGGUGGAGCGAUUUGUCUGGUUAAUUCCGAUAACGAACGAGACUCUAGCCUACUUAAUAGAGAACCGAUUUCCUCUCGUCGGUUACUCUUCUUAGAGGGACAAGCGGCGUUUAGCCGCACGAGACAGAGCAAUAACAGGUCUGUGAUGCCCUUAGAUGUCCGGGGCCGCACGCGCGCUACACUGAAGGAAUCAGCGUGUGUUCACCCUUUCCGAAAGGUAUGGGUAACCCGUUGAACCUCCUUCGUGAUAGGGAUAGGGGCUUGUAACUAUUCCCCUUGAACGAGGAAUUCCCAGUAAGCGCGAGUCAUAAGCUCGCGUUGAUUACGUCCCUGCCCUUUGUACACACCGCCCGUCGCUACUACCGAUUGAAUGAUUUAGUGAGGUCUUCGGACUGGUGCUCGGGGCGGCUUUCGGGUCGCCUCGAUGCACCGGAAAGAUGACCAAACUUGAUCAUUUAGAGGAAGUAAAAGUCGUAACAAGGGUUUC